ACUGAGGUUUGAUUGUGGAAUCCUGUGGCCUGCGAACAUGACUGAGGUUUUAUUCUGGAACCCUGUGUCCUGGGAAUAUGACUGAGUUUUGAUUCUGGAACCAUGUGGCCUGGAAUAUGACUGAGAUUUGAUUAUGGAAAUCUGUGCCCUGGGAACGUAACUGAGGUUUGAUGGGAGAAAACUGUGGACUGGCAACAUGACUGAGGUUUGAUUGUGGAACCCUAUGCCCUGGAAACAUGACUGAGGCCUGGUACUGGAAACCCAUGGCCUGGGAACUUGACAUUGGUUUUAUUCUGGAACCCUGUGUCCUGGAACAUGACUGAGUUUGAUUCUGGAACCAUGUGGCCUGGGAAUAUGACUGAGGUUUGAUUCUGGAAACCAUUGGCCUGGGAACAUGACUGAUGUUAGAUUGUGGAAUCCUGUGGCCUGGGAACAUGACAUCGGUUUGGAUUCUGGUACCCUGUUGCCUGGGAACAUGAAAUCGGUUUGAUUCUGGAAACCUGUGGUCUGGGAAUAUGACUGAGGUUUGAUGGUGGUACCCUAUGGCCUGGCAACAUGACUGAGGUUUGAUUCUGGAUCCCUGUGGCCUGGGA